UACGAGGGGAGCAAGCGUUGUUCGGAUUCAUUGGGCGUAAAGGGUGCGUAGGCGGCGCGGCAAGUCGGGUGUGAAAUCUCGGAGCUUAACUCCGAAACUGCAUUCGAUACUGCCGUGCUUGAGGACUGGAGAGGAGACUGGAAUUUACGGUGUAGCGGUGAAAUGCGUAGAUAUCGUAAGGAAGACCAGUGGCGAAGGCGGGUCUCUGGACAGUUCCUGACGCUGAGGCACGAAGGUCAGGGGAGCAAACGGG
rnacentral:rRNA from 1 species